AUACCUUUCGCAAUGUAGGACAAAAAACAUUGUAUGAUACAAAGAUGCUUCACAAUGUGCAAUAAAAAACAUUGUACAAUACAAAUACCCUUCACAAUGUGGGACAAAAAACAUUG
rnacentral:ncRNA from 1 species